rnacentral:rRNA from 1 species
UACGUAGGGUACAAGCGUUAAUCGGAAUUAUUGGGCGUAAAGAGCUCGUAGGCGGUUUGUCGCGUCUGCCGUGAAAGUCCGGGGCUUAACCCCGGAUCUGCGGUGGGUACGGGCAGACUAGAGUGCAGUAGGGGAGACUGGAAUUCCUGGUGUAGCGGUGAAAUGCGCAGAUAUCAGGAGGAACACCGAUGGCGAAGGCAGGUCUCUGGGCUGUAACUGACGCUGAGGAGCGAAAGCAUGGGGAGCGAACAGG